AUGCAAAAAUUGCGCGUUUUUAUUGUUUGAUUUGUUUUGUGUUUAAAGUGUGUUCAAUUCAUUUUUGGAGCCGCCGCGUUCGAUCAGUGUAGUGUAAAAGCAAGAAAGUUUAAGUUAAUAUCAGUUCUCUGUGCGUUUUUCGGUUUUUGUUGUUUGCGGGUGUUCUGUGAAAGUGUUUUUUUUUUUUGCGUGUUCUGUGGCAGUGUGUGUGUGUGAGUUUCGUCUUCAAAUUGCACUUCAAUAGUGAAAAAUUGUCUCAAAUUGGCGCAAGCAAUUCAAUUGUUGCUGAAGCAAUAAACUUUGCCGUCUGAAGGGAGUGCAGGCGCAUAACAUGUACCGUUGAUUUUAUCCAACACUGAAUAAUGGAUCAAACGAUUGAAGGCUGGUUUAUUCUGACGAAAUCUAGUGGAAAUCCUUCG